UCUUGCAUUUAAAAACUCCGUCCCACCUGUUGGGUGGGUCAGAUCCCUUGACUGUCUGAACCUGAACUUCUUAAUUGAUGUUGUAUUGGUAAUGAUUUAUUGGUUGAUUAAGAAGAACUACUAGAACGGUCUAAAUCUCUCAUUAAUAAUUUAAUUCUGUUUUGUUUUACUGAAAAUCUUUGUAAAGUCUUGAGACGUUAUAAAACGAUACUAAUUUUUGAUUCACAACUUCAUUUUCUGUUACUGGCCUGGUUUUAUGCUCAUAUUAGACCGUUAUUGUCUAUAAAAUGAUGAAUGCCUUCAAUAAAAAUUAAACUCGUGUGAAUUGCGACCCUCGCUUCGCUCUGGCCGCAAACUUCACACUCGUUAAUUUUUUGUGGUUUAUUCGCUUUUGUUAACAAGACAAAAUAAAAGAACAAGAAAGACUUAUUGAAAUAGAUCAAAAAAUUCGUUUAGCAACAGCAGCUACAUCGUUUGAGCAAUAUAAUGUAUCUUGAAACCUAACCUCAGGAAUUCUGUGCUUUAUCAAAC